UAGAAUACAGUCUUCUAAACUGGAAGCCUACAGCCCAAGAAGAAGCAAUCUCAGUUUAUACUACUAGAAACUCAGGGGUUUUGAGAGGAAUUGGGUCAGAAGGCAGCUGCUGCCUUCCUGUCUGGGGAGUCUUCUUGGCUGAGGAGAGAAAGGAAGAGCUGCUCCAAAUGCCACCUCCUGCUUCAUUCUGGCAACAGUGUGGCACCAAGAGCUGGAAAAAAUGAGGGCUCAACAAUGAGAGAAUCAGUAGCUGGGAUUUUGGCUGAAUUGCCGAUGCCUGAUAUUACGAAGAGGCUGGGACAAGGAAAGAGCUCUCUGUACCCCAUCUGAGAGAGAGGAAGAGACAUGCCCUGGGCUAGAGUGUUACCAAUUUAAUCU
rnacentral:lncRNA from 1 species